UUGCGGGGCCGAGCAAACAACAGAAAGAGAGAGACAUUACUGUAGAACCGAGCCACCCGGAGCCAGUCAAGUACUUCUUGACGAGGUGACGAUUGAAUCGAGUCGGACAUCCCCCAAGGUCUGCUGUUUGCUUUCUUAUAUAAAUCGAUAACGUCAAACAUGCUGUUUGCGAUUCUGAUGUGGAUCGGAUCUUCUCGCUGGUGCAGCAGUAUGGGAUGGAGCAAGGUGGCAGAAAAGAUUCUAGCGGUGGGUUUGUAGCUCUGGCUAGAGGAUACCCUUGAUUCUGUGACGGCAUUGCUGAGAAACCUGGGAGUUCGUUUAGCUGGAAGAUCGUCUGGCGAGUUCUUCUGCAUCUUUGGAAUGAUAUAUAAUUUGAGCAAACCUGUACAAAACAGAUAUAAUUUGUGGUUUGCAACA